GGGUCAGUAGGUUGGUCGUGCCACCGGUACGUACUGGUCUCACUGAUUCCUCCUUCCUGAAGAACCGUAAUGCCAUUAAUUUGGUGUUGCGGGGAAACAGGACUGUUACCUUGAAAAAAUUAGAGUGUUUAAAGCAAGCCAACGCUUGAAUACAUUAGCAUGAAAUAAUGAAAUAGGACGAUCGAUCCUAUUUUGCUGGUUUCUAGGAUUGACGUA
rnacentral:rRNA from 1 species